UACGACUACAUAUCAGGCAUAUCAAUAAGCGGAGGAAAAGAAACUAACAAGGAUUCCCUUAGUAACGGCGAGUGAAGCGGGAAGAGCUCAAAUUUGAAAUCUUCAAGGUUCUACCUUGACGAAUUGUAGUUUAAAGAAGUGUUUUCUGUUAGAUGAGUAGCAAAAGUUCCUUGGAAUGGGACAUCAUAGAGGGUGAGAAUCCCGUAUUUGGUUAUUCAUUCUAGCUUUGUGAUACACUUUCAAAGAGUCGGAUUGUUUGGGAAUGCAGUCCAAAAUGGGUGGUAAAUUUCAUCUAAAGCUAAAUAUUGGCGAGAGACCGAUAGCGAACAAGUACCGUGAGGGAAAGAUGAAAAGAACUUUGAAAAGAGGGUUAAACAGUACGUGAAAUUGUCAAAAGGGAAGCGUUUGACACCAGUGUUGUUUUUCCAAAAAUCAAUUACGAAUGGCUUGAUUUUGUGUUGUAUUGACCUUAUCAGCUUUCUGCACUUUUUUCGAGUCUUUCUUAAUGCACUUUUCGGUUAACAAGUCAACAUCAAUUUCUUUUGUUGUAAAAGAGUCAUUGGAAGGUGGCUUUCUUUUCGGAGAAAGUGUUUAUAGCCUUAUGCCUCUACAAUCGGAGAGAUUGAGGUCUGCAGCGUAGAUCCUUCGGGGUUAGAUACACUUUGUGCUAAGUUGUAGCUUUUCAUAGACAACUUGUUGACUAUGUUUAGUCAUGCGGCUUACUCGCUUAGUGCUAUUUUACCUACGCUUAGGAUGUUGAGUAGCGACAUACGCAC
rnacentral:rRNA from 1 species